rnacentral:rRNA from 1 species
UACGGAGGGUGCGAGCGUUGUCCGGAAUCACUGGGCGUAAAGGGCGCGUAGGCGGCGCGAGUAGUCAACGGUGAAAGCUCGACGCUCAACGUCGAGUCGGCCGUCGAGACUGCUUUGCUCGAGCACUGUAGAGGCAGAUGGAAUUCCGGGUGUAGCGGUGGAAUGCGUAGAGAUCCGGAAGAACACCGGUGGCGAAGGCGGUCUGCUGGGCAGUUGCUGACACUGAGGCGCGACAGCGUGGGGAGCAAACAGG